AACGAACGCUGGCGGCAUGCCUAACACAUGCAAGUCGAACGAGAACUUCGGGUCUAGUGGCGCACGGGUGCGUGCCGCGUGGGAACCUGCCCUUAGGUUAGGAAUCACUCACCGUAAGGGGUGCUAAUAAAGGAUAAUGUAAUAGGACAUAAGAUUUAUCGCCUUUGGGUGGGCUCGCGUUGGUUUUGCUAGUUGGUAGGGUAAAAGCCUACCAAGGCGACGAUCCAUAGCUGGUCUGAGAGGAUGAUCAGCCACACUGGGACUGAGACACGGCCCAGACUCCUACGGGAGGCAGCGGUGGGGAAUAUUGGACAAUGAGCGAAAGCCUGAUCCAGCAAUGCCGCGUGAGUGAUGAAGGCGUUAGGGUUGUAAAGCUCUUUGACCCGAGAUGAUAAUGACAGUACCGGGAGAAUAAGCACCGGCUAACUCCGUG
rnacentral:rRNA from 1 species